GAUGAACGCUGGCGGCGUGCCUAAUACAUGCAAGUCGAGCGAACAGACGAGGAGCUUGCUCCUUUGACGUUAGCGGCGGACGGGUGAGUAACACGUGGGUAACCUACCUAUAAGACUGGGAUAACUUCGGGAAACCGGAGCUAAUACCGGAUAAUAUUUCGAACCGCAUGGUUCGAUAGUGAAAGAUGGCUUUGCUAUCACUUAUAGAUGGACCUGCGCCGUAUUAGCUAGUUGGUAAGGUAACGGCUUACCAAGGCAACGAUACGUAGCCGACCUGAGAGGGGGAUCGCCCACACUGGAACUGAGACACGGUCCAGACUCCUACGGGAGGCAGCAGAAGGGAAUCUUCCGCAAUGGGCGAAAGCCUGACGGAGCAACGCCGCGUGAGUGAUGAAGGUCUUCGGAUCGUAAAACUCUGUUAUUAGGGAAGAACAAACGUGUAAGUAACUGUGCACGUCUUGACGGUACCUAAUCAGAAAGCCACGGCUAACUACGUG
rnacentral:rRNA from 1 species